rnacentral:lncRNA from 13 species
AUGAAUCCAAAUAAUCAAAUGGAAGUGGUUACAGAUGUCAUGGUGUUGAAAAAGGCCUCCAUCUCAUCAGUGGUGAAACACUGGCACCUUUUAAGAAUAAUUAUUCAAACCUUGAAUAUAAGACUGUUAUUGAUAGAGCUACAUCAGCCUUCUUUUUGGUGUUUUCUUGCCCAGACAAGUAAAAGAGGUAGCAUUCUCAGCAAACUGACACAAGAACAGAAAAUGAAAUACCACAUAUUCUCACUCAUAGGCGGGUGAGGAAAAAUGAGAACACAUGGACACAGCUUGACUUCUCAGAGGCAUUGGGGACAUCGAUAGUGAAUGAAAAAUGUUCAAGGCAUGCUGUGAAGAGAUGUGUGAUUACUUCUUUUCCUCAUUAGUUGAGGGUAAUGUAGAGACGAAAGUAAACAAUUUUUGAGGCAAGAAAACCCAUUGAAAAUGGUUAUCUUGGCUAAUGGGAAUGUGACUGUUACUACUAAAAUAUAAAGAGCUAUUGAAUAGUGCACU